UUGCUGGAAGUACAGAAAGGAGUGGGUUCUUGCCAAUGUCACUGAUUGUCUAACUUAUUACACUUACUUUAUCUCUUAAUUUACUAUAAAUUCAGCUCCUCUCAUUCACUCAUACAAAAUCGACUAUUCCUACUGAAACUUCUCCACAUAGAGAUUUUCAAUCAUGAGCUCUCCAAACAAUCAGCCAUCUAAAUGUCCUCCUGUCUAUAAUCCCUGUCCUCCUGUCUAUAAUCCCAGUCCUCCUGUCUAUAAUCCCUGUCCUCCUCCAAGCAACCCAUGCUACCCUCCCCCCAACCAGUGUGGUCAACCCAAUCAGCCUUAUCAGCCCUACUACCCCAAUAAUGGACAAAAUUGGAGACCUUGCUAGCAUGUGAUAAUAUGCCUAAAAUGCAUGGAGUGCAGAGGAGGACCAUGAAGAUGACGUCUGUCCAGUUUAUCUCAAUCUGACUCCUAAAAUGCUUUCUAUUUGCCUGUUGUCUCUAUAGACAAUAAAACUAAGACUAAUGUCACCAAAA